AGCGAACGCUGGCGGCAGGCCUAACACAUGCAAGUCGAACGAACUCUUCGGAGUUAGUGGCGGACGGGUGCGUAACACGUGGGAACGUGCCUUUUGGUUCGGAAUAACUCAGGGAAACUUGUGCUAAUACCGAAUGUGCCCUUCGGGGGAAAGAUUUAUCGCCAUUAGAGCGGCCCGCGUCUGAUUAGCUAGUUGGUGAGGUAACGGCUCACCAAGGCGACGAUCAGUAGCUGGUCUGAGAGGAUGACCAGCCACACUGGGACUGGGACACGGCCCAGACUCCUACGGGAGGCAGCAGUGGGGAAUAUUGCGCAAUGGGCGAAAGCCUGACGCAGCCAUGCCGCGUGAAUGAUGAAGGUCUUAGGAUUGUAAAAUUCUUUCACCGGGGACGAUAAUGACGGUACCCGGAGAAGAAGCCCCGGCUAACUUCGUG
rnacentral:rRNA from 1 species